rnacentral:rRNA from 1 species
AGCAGCCGCGGUAAUUCCAGCUCCAAUAGCGUAUAUUAAAGUUGCUGCAGUUAAAAAGCUCGUAGUUGAAUUUCGGGACCAUCAUGUCGGUCGUGCCUCGGUACGUACUGGCAUCGUUGGUUUCUCCCUUCUGACGAACCAUGAUGUCAUUUAUUUGGUGUCGUGGGGAAUCAGGACUGUUACUUUGAAAAAAUUAGAGUGUUUAAAGCAGGCUCACGCUUGAAUACAUUAGCAUGGAAUAAUGAAAUAGGACCUUUGAUUCUAUUUUGUUGGUUUCUAGGAUCGACGUAAUGAUUAAUAGGGAUAGUUGGGGGCAUUAGUAUUCAAUUGUCAGAGGUGAAAUUCUUGGAUUUAUCGAAGACUAACUACUGCGAAAGCAUUUGCCAAGGAUGUUUUCAUUAAUCAAGAACGAAAGUUAGGGGAUCGAAGACGAUCAGAUACCGUCGUAGUCUUAACCAUAAACUAUGCCGACUAGGGAUCGGAUGAUGUUAAUUUUUUAAUGACUCAUUCGGCG